rnacentral:rRNA from 1 species
GUCGGCGCGGGAAUACGGAGGGUGCAGUGGUUAACGGAAUUACUGGGCGUAAAGCGCACGUAGGCGGUGUGUUAAGUUGGAUGUGAAAGCCCCGGGCUCAACCUGGGAAUUGCAUUCAAAACUGGCACGCUAGAGUAUGUGAGAGGGGAAAUAGAAUUCCAAGUGUAGCGGUGAAAUGCGUAGAGAUUUGGAGGAAUACCAGUGGCGAAGGCGGCCCCCUGGCACAAUACUGACGCUCAGGUGCGAAAGCGUGGGGAGCAAACAGGAUUAGAUACCCUGGUAGUCCACGCCGUAAACGAUGUCAACUAGCUGUUGG